UUUGCCCAUAUCUGAGCAGAAACAAUAGACCUUGUUGGAUCAUUUAAAAUUUUGCUAAGAUUUCUGCAUGAUUUUUUAGCCGUGUAGUAUUUUUUUUUUCUUGGUUAGCAAGUUUUCGUUGGUUUUGGUUUUUAGCAUUUUGAAUUUAUCAGCCUACUGCCUUCUGACUUCCAAAGUUUCCGAAGGGAAGUCUGAUGAUAAUCUUCUUUAGGACUCCUCAGAUGGGAUCAGUCGCUUCUGUCUUGUGGUUUUCGACAGUUGAAUCACACUGUGCUUCGGGGUGGGUCUCUGCCUUCAUCCUGCCUGAAGUUCGCUGACUUUCUUGGAUGUUUAUGUUAAAUAGUGACACUGACAGGUCUAAGAAUGUCCCCUGUACCGUGGUGAGUGAAAUGGAGGAGCACACCCACGAGAGUUCUCAGAUCUUCCAACCACCCAACACGUGUGGGUUGUGUUCCAUUUUCUCUUCCUACAACCAUGUUCCUUCCUAACGAAAAUGACUAGGUCACCGCCCAAUGUAAUCACAUAUCUGAAUCUGGUCACACACCCUAUGCUUGGCACCGGUCACAUCUACUUUGCCCCCAGCCUUUGGGGUCCCUACUCUUGAGGUCCUGAACAUUCACAGAGAACAGAUCUCAUUCGGUGCAGGAGGGGGGCAGAAAGGAUUUGCAAGAUGAAGUAGGCCAAGUCUUGUAACACCUGUUGUAGGUAGAAGUAAUAAUGGGCCCCAAAGAUAUCCAUGUCUUGAUUCCCAGAACCUGCGCAUAUAUUGCCUUCCAUAGCAAGGGAAAUGAAGGUUGCGGAUGGAAUGAAGGUUGCUGAUCAGCUGAGCUUGAGAUGAGAAGACAUUACUGGAUUACCCAGAGCCUCCAGAAGAGAGCCAGCCCUGCUGAUACCUUGAUGGGAGCCCCAGGAAGCUAAUUUCAGACUUCUUACCUCCAGAACUGAAAGCAAAGAAAUGUGCAUUGUUUUAAGCUGCAAAGUCUGUGACGCUUUGUCCUAGAAGCAAGAGGAAGCUGAGCUAACCCCCUUAAGCAGCUGAAGGAAAUCAAGUCAACAGCAACUGAAGUCAUUAGAGUGACUCAGAUUCCCAUGGGGGAUGUUUUUCCUUGCUCUUGGUUUUGCUCAAGACCUAGGAUCUGAUUUUGGUUGGUGCAAAAGCCACCAAAGUUACCAAGAUUAGGGGGAAUGGAAUUCAGGGCUGAGGGGGGAUGUACGAAGCCCAGAGCAGGAGCCGAAGAGCCAACAGAUAUUGAUUUAAACCACGACACAUUCUUAGCAACGGGGGAUGUGCCUGCAACUGAUGAUCA